CUUUGUAUUGAUGUUGGCCCAUAAAGGCAUAGUACAAGUGAAGUUACAAAAUGGACCAUUACCCACACUUACAUUCUCGAGAUAAAAUUAACCCAACAGAAAAAGUCCAUUAUAUUGACUUUUCCUUAAGCUUCGAGAAAAACCUAAGCAGUACACGCGUCCAGCAUGUAAAGAAAUUCCAACACGCGUCAUCCCAAGCUUCAUCACCAAGCUUGGAUUGUGUGCCUCCUCACGCGCCGCUGCAGCAGGUGAAAGAUACUAUAUGAUCACCGAUGAAGUCCGGUGAAAGUUCUUUGAACAUUAGUAUACAUAUAUUUUUUUUUUUUUUGUCAACAUACUUUGUAUUGAUGUUGGCCCAUAAAGGCAUAGUACAAGUGAAGUUACAAAAUGGACCAUUACCCACACUUACAUUCUCGAGAUAAAAUUAACCCAACAGAAAAAGUCCAUUAUAUUGACUUUUCCUUAAGCUUCGAGAAAAACCUAAGCAGUACACGCGUCCAGCAUGUAAAGAAAUUCCAACACGCGUCAUCCCAAGCUUCAUCACCAAGCUUGGAUUGUGUGCCUCCUCACGCGCCGCUGCAGCAGGUGGAUAAUUUUGUGACGCGCCUCCGGCAAAUC
rnacentral:lncRNA from 1 species